rnacentral:rRNA from 2 species
UUUUGGAGAGUUUGAUCCUGGCUCAGAGUGAACGCUGGCGGCGUGGAUUAGGCAUGCAAGUCGAGCGAUCCUUGCUUGAUACUUACUGGAGUGCUUGCACAAAGGUAAGAGGAUGGCGCUGGAUAGCGGCAAACGGGUGAGUAAUGCGCGAGCAAUUUUCUCUAAAUACGAACAUAGCUUCGUGAAAACGGAGGUAAUAUUCGAUGUGGUCCGAAAAUCGCAUGUUUUUCGGAUUAAAGGUAGGGACCUUCGGGCCUGCCGAUUUAGAAUGAGCUCGCGUCCUAUCAGCUUGUUGGUGGGGUAAAGGCCUACCAAGGCAUAUGACGGGUAGCUGGUCUGAGAGGAUGGUCAGCCACACUGGGACUGAGACACUGCCCAGACUCCUACGGGAGGCUGCAGUCGAGAAUCUUCCUCAAUGGACGAAAGUCUGAAGGAGCGACGCCGCGUGCAGGAUUAAGGCCUUCGGGUUGUAAACUGCUUUUGUAUGGAAAGAAGUUCUGCUAUCUAACAUAUAGUAGAAUUGACGGUACCAUGCGAAUAAGCCACGGCCAACUCCGUGCCAGCAGCCGCGGUAAUACGNNGAGGUGGCAAGCGUUACUCGGAAUUAUUGGGUGUAAAGGGCAAGUAGGCGGUCUGUUAAGUGAGGGGUGAAAUCUUCCGACUCAAUCGGAAAACUGCCUUUCAAACUAAUAGACUUGAGAUUGGAAGAGGGAAACGGAAUUAGCAGUGUAAGGGUGAAAUCUGUAGAUAUUGCUAAGAACACCAGCGGCGAAGGCGGUUUCCUGGUCCAAAUCUGACGCUAAAUUGCGAAAGCUAGGGUAGCAAACAGAAUUAGAUACUCUGGUAGUCCUAGCUGUAAACGAUGAGCACUAGGUGUUGGGUCUAACGACUCGGUGCCGCAGCUAACGCAUUAAGUGCUCCACCUGGGGACUACGGCCGCAAGGCUAAAACUCAAAGGAAUNNUGGUUUAAUUCGAUGCUACGCGAAAAACCUCACCAGGGCUUGACAUGUAUGAAGUAGUGAACUGAAAGGGGAACGACCCGUAAAAUCGGGAACUUACACAGGUGCUGCAUGGCUGUCGUCAGCUCGUGUCGUGAGAUGUUGGGUUAAGUC